AUGGCUGUCGUCAGCUCGUGUCGUGAGAUGUUGGGUUAAGUCCCGCAACGAGCGCAACCCUCACUUUUAGUUGCCAUCAUUAAGUUGGGCACUCUGAAAGAACUGCCAGUGAUAAGCUGGAGGAAGGUGGGGAUGACGUCAAGUCCUCAUGGCCCUUACGUGUUGGGCUACACACGUGCUACAAUGGUAUCUACAACAGGAAGCAAAACGGCAACGUUAAGCAAAUCCCGAAAAGAUACCUCAGUUCGGAUUGCACUCUGCAACUCGAGUGCAUGAAGCUGGAAUUACUAGUAAUCGUGGAUCAGCGUGCCACGGUGAAUGCGUUCCCGGGUCUUGUACACACCGCCCGUCACACCAUGGGAGUUGGUUCUACCUUAAGGCAAGGUUUUAAACCCUUGACCACGGUAUAGUCAGCGACUGGGGUGAAGUCGUAACAAGGUAGCCGUAGGGGAACCUGCGGCUGGAUUACCUCCUUUCUAAGGAUGAGUGAAAGUAAAAUUUCACUCUAAAUAAUAUACAUCGGUAAUGUUGACCGUCCUCAUUUCUCUUCUUAAAGUAAUGUUUCCUUCUUGUAGGGCCGGUAGCUCAGUUGGUUAGAGCACACCCUUGAUAAGGGUGGGGUCGAAAGUUCGAGUCUUUCUCGGCCCACCAAAAACCUAAAUGGGGGAUUAGCUCAUCUGGGAGAGCGCCUGAUUUGCAUUCAGGAGGUAGCAGGUUCGAUCCCUGUAUCCUCCACCAGGAAACAUUUAGUUAUUAAAACUGUAAAUAAAAAUAAUUUAUAUCAAUAUCUAUAUCCGAACAUUAAAAGUUAUUAUUUAAUGUUCAAAAUAAAAAUUUGAUCACAACACAGAUAAAUUUUCUUUAAUAAGAAUUUUUUUCUGUGCAUAAAUCAAGCGUUUAAGGGCGUGUAGUGGAUGCCUUGGCACUGAAAGCCGAUGAAGGACGUGAUAUACUGCGAUAAGUUUCGGGGAGCUGUAUGUAAGCUUUGAUCCGAAAAUUUCCGAAUGGGGAAACCCGG
rnacentral:sRNA from 1 species